UCAUAAUAAUCAUAAUAUUUAUCCUUAGCAACUUAACAGUUGCGCUGCAUAUAUUUGAUGUACGGCUGGUCCUGGGAAUGGAAGCCUGCCGAUGCUAAUGCUCUACUAACUGAGCUACAGAUAGUAAAAUAGAGCUUCUUUUUUUAAAGGGAAAACAGAGAUAUGUAUUUUUAUUACAUGAUAUGACAGAUGUAGGAACAUAUUGGGUAAUGGGCGGAGGGCGGAGGGCAGACAGAUGUAGGAAGAGAUUGGUAGAUAGACAGAGGGUAGACAGAUGUAGGAACAUAUUGGGUGAUGGGCGGAGGGCGGAGGGCAGACAGAUGUAGGAAGAGAUUGGUAGAUAGACAGAGGGUAGACAGAUGUUGGAACAUAUUGGGAGAUAGACAGAGGGUAGACAGAUGUAGGAACAUAUUGGGAGAUAGACAGAGGGUAGACAGAUGUAGGAACAUAUUGGGAGAUAGACAGAGGGUAGACAGAUGUAGGAACAUAUUGGGAGAUAGACAGAGGGUAGACAGAUGUAGGAACAUAUUGGUAAAUAGACAGAGGGUAGACAGAUGUAGGAACAUAUUGGGAGAUAGACAGAGGGUAGACAGAUGUAGGAACAUAUUGGGAGAUAGACAGAGGGCAGACAGAUGUAGAAAGAGAUUGGUAGAUAGACAGAGGGUAGACAGAUGUAGGAACAGAGGGCAGAAAAUAUGUAAGGAUGCUGGAACCCCGUCUCCAAGGGGACAUGUGUUGUCCAGAGUCGAGAAAGUUAGCACUACACCAGACCCCGGAGUAUACUGAGGUGAGAAAGUUAGCACUACACCAGACCCCGGAGUAUACUGAGGUGAGAAAGUUAGCACUACACCAGACCCCGGAGUAUACUGAGGUGAGAAAGUUAGCACUACACCAGACCCCGGAGUAUACUGAGGUGAGAAAGUUAGCACUACACCAGACCCCGGAGUAUACUGAGGUGAGAAAGUUAGCACUACACCAGACCCCGGAGUAUACUGAGGUGAGAAAGUUAGCACUACACCAGACCCCGGAGUAUACUGAGGUGAGAAAGUUAGCACUACACCAGACCCCGGAGUAUACUGAGGUGAGAAAGUUAGCACUACACCAGACCCCGGAGUAUACUGAGGUGAGAAAGUUAGCACUACACCAGACCCCGGAGUAUACUGAGGUGAGAAAGUUAGCACUACACCAGACCCCGGAGUAUACUGAGGUGAGAAAGUUAGCACUACACCAGACCCCGGAGUAUACUGAGGUGAGAAAGUUAGCACGACACCAGACUCCGGAGUAUACUGAGGUGAGAAAGUUAGAAAGAAAUUAGCCUUUCAUACGAAAGAUUGAUUUUGUGUGACAGAGAGGGACAAUGGACAGAAACAAACAUCUCUGUUAGUCCACUA